UUCCUCUGAUUUUUGUUAAUUGCCCAUAA
rnacentral:piRNA from 1 species